CCCUGCCUUUUGUACACACCGCCCGUCGCACCUACCGAUUGAAUGGUCCGGUGAACCCUCUGGAUCGAGACGUUUGGAGCAAUCUGAACGUCACGAGAAGCUGGGUAAACCUUACCAUUUAGAGGAAG
rnacentral:rRNA from 1 species